rnacentral:snoRNA from 1 species
CAGCAGGCCUCCAGUGUGCCUGGGUCCCGUGUGACCCUGUGACUCCUACAACAUAGUGCUUGUAAUAACACUUUGAAACGGGUUGAGGCCUUGCUCUAGACAGUGAUUCUCAACUUUCCUAAUGCC